rnacentral:lncRNA from 1 species
AUUGGAGAUUGGAAGACAGACCGAAGGAGAGAUAAUUUGGGGAUUUUACUGUACUAGAGCUGGGGAAAGAUAGAGUGCUUUCCAAAAGUACCCUAUAGUACAGCAGGUAAUGUUUCCAAGUUCCUAAUUUCUCUCAUACCUACAUUUAUAACGGGAUGAUUAGCUAUCAUUUAUCACGGAGUGCCUUUGGAGUUAAGUAGUGUAGUAG